GGCUGGGCCCAGUGCAGUGGCGUUUACAACUAAUUGAUCACAACCAGUUACAAAUUUCUUUUUUCCUUCUCCACUCCCACUGCUUCACUUUACCAGCCUUAA
rnacentral:Y_RNA from 1 species